UGCAUCUCGUAGCUGUGUCUGGCCCCUGGGCCUAGCAGAACGGAGCAUGUGCGAUGCGGAGCCUGCGGCCCGAUCUUCCAACCCCUCCGUGGGCGCCGCGCACACCUGAGGGAGCCGGACCGGGAGUAAACAGAAUGUCGAACAGGAGGCGCAGGAUCCCACCCUGAGGCAGGAAAUUUGGAGUGGAGGGACUGCCCGCAGCCGUGGCCUUCCAUGAGUCCAUUUUAGGAGUGUCCCUUUCUCAAGUUUGAGGACUGAGUGCUGGAAUGCAGUUUGUGUUGCAGCAGUGGUGAAGGAGGAGGCUGUCUCCAGAGGAGUCCCAGCAACAGUACUGUGAUCAACUCAAGAUUCUGACUGAAAGCAACCUUUUAUGAAAAACUCCCAUGUAUUUGCUGACCUUGCCCUGGUCAGAAACCUCUGAUAUCAUUCUGCCCCACAGGGCAUUUACACUGCUUAAUAAAUUUGUUUCCAAAAUGA